GAUGAACGCUGGCGGCGUGCCUAAUACAUGCAAGUCGAGCGAACAGACGAGGAGCUUGCGCCUUUGACGUUAGCGGCGGGCGGGUGAGUCACACGUGUAUACCCUACCUAUCAGACGGGGAUAACUUCGGGACACGGGAGAUAAUACGGGAUAAUAUUUCGAAGCGCGGGGUGCGAUAGUGAAAUACGGCGUUGGUGGCACUAAUAGCUGGACCUGCGCCGUAUUGGCUAGUUGUUAAGUUCACGGCUUACCAAGGGAACGAUUCGUAGCCGACCUGAGAGGGUGAUCGGCCACACGGGAACGUAGACACGGUCCAGAGGCCUACGGGAGGCACCAGUAGGGAAUCUGCCGCAAUGGGCGAAAGCCUGACGGAGCAACGCCGAGUGAGUGAUGAAGGUCCUCGGAUCGGAAAACUCUGUUAUGAGGUAAGAACAAAUGUGUAAGGAACUGAGCACGUCUUGACGGUAACGAAUCAGAAAGCCACGGCUAACUACGUG
rnacentral:rRNA from 1 species